rnacentral:rRNA from 1 species
GACGAACGCUGGCGGCGCGCCUAACACAUGCAAGUCGAACGGAGCUGCGAGAAGCUUGCUUUUCUUAGCUUAGUGGCGAACGGGUGAGUAACGCGAGAGUAAUCUGCUCUGGUGUGGGGGACAACAGUUGGAAACGACCGCUAAUACGGCAUAAGCUCAUGCUCCGUGAUGGGAGUGAGGGAAAAGGGGUUGUUCGGUUCAGACUGGACGCGCGUCCAAUUGGCUGGUUGGUGAGGUAAUGCCCCACCAAGGCGACGUAUGCUAGCCGGACUGAGAGGUGGACCGGCUACAUUGGGACUGAGACACGGCCCAGACUCCUACGGAAGGCAGCAGUGGGGGAUAUUGCACGAUGGGGGAUACCCUGAUGCAGCGGCGCCGGGUGGAGGAAGAAGGUUGUCGGAUUGUAAACUCCUGUGGUAAGAGGCGAGAAUGACGGUACCUAACAAGAAAGCACCGGCUAACUACGUG